GAUGAACGCUGGCGGCGUGCUUAACACAUGCAAGUCGAACGGGAUCCAUCAAGCUUGCUUGGUGGUGAGAGUGGCGAACGGGUGAGUAAUGCGUGACCGACCUGCCCCAUGCUCCGGAAUAGCUCCUGGAAACGGGUGGUAAUGCCGGAUGUUCCACAUGAUCGCAUGUGAUUGUGGGAAAGAUUCUAUCGGCGUGGGAUGGGGUCGCGUCCUAUCAGCUUGUUGGUGAGGUAACGGCUCACCAAGGCUUCGACGGGUAGCCGGCCUGAGAUGGCGACCGGCCACAUUGGGACUGAGAUACGGCCCAGACUCCUACGGGAGGCAGCAGUGGGGAAUAUUGCACAAUGGGCGCAAGCCUGAUGCAGCGACGCCGCGUGAGGGAUGGAGGCCUUCGGGUUGUAAACCUCUUUUGUUUGGGAGCAAGCCUUCGGGUGAGUGUACCUUUCGAAUAAGCGCCGGCUAACUACGUGCCAGCAGCCGCGGUAAUACGUAGGGCGCAAGCGUUAUCCGGAUUUAUUGGGCGUAAAGGGCUCGUAGGCGGCUCGUCGCGUCCGGUGUGAAAGUCCAUCGCUUAACGGUGGAUCUGCGCCGGGUACGGGCGGGCUGGAGUGCGGUAGGGGAGACUGGAAUUCCCGGUGUAACGGUGGAAUGUGUAGAUAUCGGGAAGAACACCGAUGGCGAAGGCAGGUCUCUGGGCCGUCACUGACGCUGAGGAGCGAAAGCGUGGGGAGCGAACAA
rnacentral:rRNA from 1 species